GUGAAUCUUUUUCUGUCCUGAGAAUGACUACAUGCCCAGUGGAGCAUCCUGGAACCGCAUAAAUGUGCAAAAGGGCCCCUCGGCCAUCUCCACUGAAGGACCAAACUUUCUUAGAGGAACGUGAAGCAGUCAGACAAGGCACCAGGACCGGGAUCACUUUGAAGUUGGUCCUGGGGUUUGGCUUUAAGAAAAAGAAAUGCACUUAAGAUAAUCCAGUAAUGAAAGAACACACACAAGCCUGGCAAUGGAGGACAAGUCAAAGAAACCACCAAGAGGAGGCCUUGGCGACACUCUCCUGCGGUCAAAUGGCUGUAGCAGGCUGGAUGUGCGUUGCAUUUUGUGCUCUGUCAAUCACAGCCCACACCACGCAACAUAGAUUAGUAUCUUGUCCUCUCCUGACAAGCUCCUCCCUGUUGUAAAUAUACUUUCUGUUUUCUAUACUGUAAUGAGGCUAUUUUGCAAAUAUUAAACCAAUCUGU